CGAAGGGUGCAAGCGUUACUCGGAAUUACUGGGCGUAAAGCGUGCGUAGGUGGUUCGUUAAGUCUGUCGUGAAAUCCCCGGGCUCAACCUGGGAAUGGCGAUGGAUACUGGCGAGCUAGAGUGAGGUAGAGGUGAGUGGAAUUCCCGGUGUAGCAGUGAAAUGCGUAGAGAUCGGGAGGAACAUCAGUUGCGAAGGCGGCUCUCUGGACCAUCACUGACACUGAGGCACGAAAGCGUGGGGAGCAAACAGGAUUAGAUACCCUGGUAGUCCACGCCCUAAACGAUGCGAACUGGACGUUGGGCUCAAUUAGGAGCUCAGUGUCGAAGCUAACGCGUUAAGUUCGCCGCCUGGGGAGUACGGUCGCAAGACUG
rnacentral:rRNA from 1 species